GCCGAAGUGGUGGAACUGGUAGACACGCACGCUUGAGGGGCGUGUGUUCGAAAGGACGUGCGAGUUCGAUUCUCGCCUUCGGCACCA
rnacentral:tRNA from 1 species